UACGUAGGUGGCAAGCGUUUGUCCGGGAAUUAUUUGGGCGUAAAGCGCGCGCAGGUGGUUCCUUAAGUCUGAUGUGAAAGCCCACGGCUCAACCGUGGAGGGUCAUUGGAAACUGGGGGGACUUUGAGUGCAGAAGAGGAAAAGUGGAAUUCCAAGUGUAGCGGUGAAAUGCGUAGAUAUCUGGAGGAACACCGGUGGCGAAGGCGGCAUCCUGGAC
rnacentral:rRNA from 1 species